CUUGGGGACCUAGUGUGUUUAUGUGUAGGACACAGAGCUCCCUCCUCAGAGCACUGUGAGGGAGAUGCCUGACCUGGGGGCCUCAUGGGUCUGUCUCUAGGGACACCCUGAACUCCAUCCUCAGGGCAGCGUUAGGGAGAUGCCAGGCUUAGGGACCUUGUGGAUCUGUGUAUUGUAUAGGGACAGCUCUAGCUCUCUCCUCAUCCGAGAAUCCAGUGUGAGGGAGACAUCCGGCUUGGGGACCUCAUGCGUCUGUUUCUAGGGACACCCAUUGCUCCCUCAGAAGAGCAUUAGGGAGCCCCCGCUCCCGCUUGGGGACUUCGUGGGUCUGUCUCUAUGGACACCCAGAGCUCCCUCCUCAAAGCAGCAUGAGGGAGGUGCCCAGCUUGGGGGACCCUUGGGUCUGUCUUUAGGACCCCCAGAGCUCCCCCAUUCUCAGAACAGCCUGAGGGAGAAACCCAGCUUUGGGAUCUCUUGAGCCUCUCUUUAUGGACACCCAGAGCUCCCUCCUGAGAGCAGCGUGAGGGAGGUGCCCUUUUUGGGAACCCUUGUGCGUCUGUGUGUAGGGACACCCUGAGCUUUCUUCUCAGAGCAGCGUGAGGGAGUGCUUGAUAGUCCUUGUGGGAUUUGUGUGUUAGAAAGCCUGAGGUCCCCUUUGCCGAGCCGCCUCAGGGAGAUGCCUCACCUCUUCUGUCAUAACAGGUGUCAACAGUGAAUACCUCCCACUCCUGCAGCGGUUUUGAUGUGGUUGUGAGGUGUCCUCCAAAAGCUCACCUUCUGACAAUACAAGAAGGUUUGGAGGCAAAAUGAUGGGGUUAGAGAGCCUCAACCUCCUCAGUGAAUUAGUUCCUGAUGGGGUUACCUGAGUGGUAACUGGAUGCAGGUCGAGUGGGCCCAGAUAGAAGGAUUCAUUUGGGGUGUGCCUGUGGGUUAUGUAUUUUGUAUUUGGAGAGUGAAUUUCCUCUCUCUGCCUUCUGAUCAUGACAUGAGUCGGUGCUGUCUGCCACACUCUUCUGCCUUGAUGUUCUGCUUCACCUUGAAUCCCGAGGAGUGGAGCUGGCCUCUGUGGAUUAAGACCUCUGAAACGCCAUGACUCCUCAUGAUACCCAAGAAUAUUCACCAGAGAAGGGCAUAAAACAUAUAUUUCAGAAAGUGAUAAGUGGGAAAUAUAGAAGUUGUGAUCUUGACUAUUUACAGCAAAAGAAAAUAUGGAAAAC